rnacentral:lncRNA from 1 species
UUUGUUUUUAAACUCUACUUCAUUCAUUCAUGAAAACCAUUCGAAAAUCUUUUUAAAACUGUUUUCCACACGAAAACUCUAUUUUGAAAAUCAACUACUUCGAGGGGUAGAAAACCAUGAUGCGUAAAUAUGUAUAAAUACACAAAUCCGAGAACUGAAUAUCCAUAAACCAAAACCAGUGAUCCACAAAAUCUCUAAUCAUGCAUAACGGAAAUCACAAACAUUCAAACAUAUAACUGAACCAUUUAUUAUUAAUAACUACUAAGA